CCUACGGGUGGCAGCAGUGAGGAAUAUUGGUCAAUGGGCGCGAGCCUGAACCAGCCAAGUAGCGUGAAGGAUGACUGCCCUACGGGUUGUAAACUUCUUUUAUAAAGGAGUAAAGUGAGGCACGUGUACCUUUUUGUAUGUACUUUAUGAAUAAGGAUCGGCUAACUCCGUGCCAGCAGCCGCGGUAAUACGGAGGAUCCGAGCGUUAUCCGGAUUUAUUGGGUUUAAAGGGAGCGUAGAUGGGUUGUUAAGUCAGUUGUGAAAGUUUGCGGCUCAACCGUAAAAUUGCAAUUGAUACUGGCAGGCUUGAGUACAGUUGAGGUAGGCGGAAUGCGUGGUGUAGCGGUGAAAUGCUUAGAUAUAACGAAGAACACCGAUUGCGAAGGCAGCUUACUAAGCUGCCACUGACGUUGAUGCUCGAAAGCGUGGGUAGCAAACAGGAUUAGAUACCCUGGUAGUC
rnacentral:rRNA from 1 species